GACGAACGCUGGCGGCGUGCCUAAUACAUGCAAGUAGAACGCUGAAGGAGGAGCUUGCUUCUCUGGAUGAGUUGCGAACGGGUGAGUAACGCGUAGGUAACCUGCCUGGUAGCGGGGGAUAACUAUUGGAAACGAUAGCUAAUACCGCAUAAUAGUAGAUGUCGCAUGACAUUUGCUUAAAAGGUGCAAUUGCAUCACUACCAGAUGGACCUGCGUUGUAUUAGCUAGUUGGUGAGGUAACGGCUCACCAAGGCAACGAUACAUAGCCGACCUGAGAGGGGGGUCGGCCACACUGGGACUGGGACACGGCCCAGACUCCUACGGGAGGCAGCAGUAGGGAAUCUUCGGCAAUGGACGGAAGUCUGACCGAGCAACGCCGCGUGAGUGAAGAAGGUUUUCGGAUCGUAAAGCUCUGUUGUAAGAGAAGAACGAGUGUGAGAGUGGAAAGUUCACACUGUGACGGUAUCUUACCAGAAAGGGACGGCUAACUACGUG
rnacentral:rRNA from 1 species